rnacentral:misc_RNA from 1 species
GAUGAAGAACGUAGCGAAAUGCGAUAAGUAAUGUGAAUUGCAGAAUUCAGUGAAUCAUCGAAUCUUUGAACGCACAUUGCGCCCGCCAGUAUUCUGGCGGGCAUGCCUGUUCGAGCGUCAUUACAACCCUCAGGCCCCCGGGCCUGGCGUUGGGGAUCGGCGGAAGCCCCCUGCGGGCACAACGCCGUCCCCCAAAUACAGUGGCGGUCCCGCCGCAGCUUCCAUUGCGUAGUAGCUAACACCUCGCAACUGGAGAGCGGCGCGGCCACGCCGUAAAACACCCAACUUCUGAAUGUUGACCUCGAAUCAGGUAGGAAUACCCGCUGAACUUAAGCAUAUCAUAAGCGGAGGA